GACGAGAUGGCAGCAGUGUCGAUUCGAUUGGUGCGUAAAGAGCUCGUAGGCGGUCUGUCGCGUCGAAUGUGAAAACCCGGGGCUCAACCCCGGGCCUGCAUUCGAUACGGGCAGACUAGAGUUCGGUAGGGGAGUCUGGAAUUCCUGGUGUAGCGGUGAAAUGACGCAGAUAUCAGGAGGAACACCGGUGGCGAAGGCGGGACUCUGGGCCGAUACUGACGCUGAGGAGCGAAAGCGUGGGGAGCAAACAGG
rnacentral:rRNA from 1 species